AAUGUAGAUUUUGAAUUAACAUGUCCAUUAUGACACAGUUCCUAAAAAUCCGGGAGCCAAAUCACGGGCAGACGCUGCUUACACUACGGAAUGCGUUAGAUUUAAACGGUGUUUUCCGAUUUUCUAUGUUAUACCAUGCCCGCAACAACAACAAAAACAAAGCUCUUCUAUAUAUCUAUGAAUGAACCUAACCUAUUUUUCAUAUUUUAACUACCGGAAAUAAAACAUUACGGCCUGAAUUUGUGGAAUGCAACUUUUUUCGGACCACGCGCAUGUUCCGAAAGGCGUAUCCUUUUAUUUUUCGUAUCCUUUUUAGAAUUUAGGCUUUGACUAAUAAUUUCGAAGCGCUAACUUUAAUAUCCCUUACAAAGGUUUUCAUAGUUUCAGCGACGAAGAGCCACCUCUGGAACUAUCUUCAGUUCUUGCUUAACGACCCCGAGGAGAAGUAUAUCGCCUACAUUCAGUGGCUUGACAAAUUGUCGGGCGUAUUUAAGAUAGUUGAUCCGCAAGGCCUGGCAAGACUGUGGGGCCAAAAGAAAAACAUUCCUAAAAUGAAUUAUGACAAAAUGUCCAGGUCCUUGAGGAACUACUACAAAAACAAUAAACUGAAGAAAGUGCCGGGUCAGAGACAAGUUUAUCAGUUUAUAUUUAGUGAGGAAAAUCCCGCUCAGAUCCAUCCCCAAGUAGCUUUAUAUUGGCAGAUGAUACAAACCCAAUUAAAAUGAAGCUUCUUUCUUCACUGACGUAAAUUUACUAACAGUAGGCGGUGAACGCCUUUAAUGCAACUUAAUCGAAAUUUUUUUGUUGUUCACUGCAAUUUGCCAGAACUCUUCGCUAUUUCCGAAUGACCACCCAAAAUAUACGCAUUCAAAAUUCAGUGGGUCCAACUUUUUUUUUGUAUCGCAGUUCACUUAUAAUCAAAUGCAGUCCUUACACUAAGCAUCCAAAAUAAAUUAAUGUUCAACAUGGGAACCUAAUUAACGAGAUCUUGACUGGCCUGACAGCCUAUCACUGGCUCAAUCUGUACGCCAAGCUCCCAAAAUCCUGAGUCUUGG